UACGGAGGAUGCGAGCGUUAUCCGGAUUUAUUGGGUUUAAAGGGUGCGUAGGCGGAAUAUCAAGUCAGCGGUAAAAAUUCGGGGCUCAACGCCGUAUCGCCGUUGAAACUGCAGGUCUUGAGUGAGCGAGAAGUAUGCGGAAUGCGUGGUGUAGCGGUGAAAUGCAUAGAUAUCACGCAGAACUCCGAUUGCGAAGGCAGCAUACCGGCGCCCGACUGACGCUGAAGCACGAAAGCGUGGGUAUCGAACAGG
rnacentral:rRNA from 1 species